CCUACGGGAGGCACCAGUCGGGAAUCUUCGGCAAUGGACGAAAGUCUGACCGAGCAACGCCGCGCGAGUGAAGAAGGUUUUCGGAUCGUAAAACUCUGUUGUUAGAGAAGAACAAGUAGGAGAGUAACUGCUCUUGCCUUGACGGUAUCUAACCAGAAAGCCACGGCUAACUACGUGCCAGCAGCCGCGGUAAUACGUAGGUGGCAAGCGUUGUCCGGAUUUAUUGGGCGUAAAGCGAGCGCAGGCGGUCUUUUAAGUCUGAUGUGAAAGCCCUCGGCUCAACCGAGGAAGGUCAUUGGAAACUGGAGGACUUGAGUGCAGAAGAGGAGAGUGGAAUUCCAUGUGUAGCGGUGAAAUGCGUAGAUAUAUGGAGGAACACCAGUGGCGAAGGCGACUCUCUGGUCUGUAACUGACGCUGGGGCUCGAAAGCGUGGGGAGCAAACAGGAUUAGAUACCCCCGUAGUC
rnacentral:rRNA from 1 species